AGGAUCUUAAGUUAAUAAAACUAUUGACCUUCAAGUCAAAAAUAAUUCUAAUUAAAUCUUA
rnacentral:tRNA from 1 species